UCGAGAAUUUUUCACAAUGGGGGAAACCCUGAUGGAGCGACGCCGCGUGGAGGACGAAGGCCUUCGGGUCGUAAACUCCUGUCAUGCGGGAACAAGAAAGUGAUAGUACCGCAAGAGGAAGAGACGGCUAACUCUGUGCCAGCAGCCGCGGUAAUACAGAGGUCUCAAGCGUUGUUCGGAUUUAUUGGGCGUAAAGAGCGCGUAGGCGGUUUAUCAAGUCAGAUGUGAAAGCCCUGGGCUCAACCUGGGAAGUGCAUUUGAAACUAGUAGACUUGAGUAUGGGAGAGGGAAGUGGAAUUCCUGGUGUAGAGGUGAAAUUCGUAGAUAUGUGGAGGAAUACCAAUGGCGAAGGCAGCCCCCUGGGAUAACACUGACGCUCAUGCACGAAAGCGUGGGGAGCAAACAGG
rnacentral:rRNA from 1 species